rnacentral:lncRNA from 1 species
GCCAAAACAUACUAAAACAACCACUUAAAGGGAAACUGGUUAGACUCAUAUGUCUGGCUUGCUAAUAAAAUUGCUGUGCACUUAAUACAUUCUGGAAGAGAGCACAGCACCUUUUGGAUUUUGAGUCUGAUUCUCUUUUCCCUUGCAGUGAUGCAAAUUGGGAAUGACCCCUUCAGUCAGUGUCUAUGUAUAGCCAUGCCUGUGGAAGGAGUUUAUCAAAAUUUUCCCUGCCAAUCCAUAUCUGGAAACAGAAAACUGUAGAGGCCAAAGUGAAACGCUCAAUCAAGAUGCUGAAAAUGUUUAACCGUGGGAGCAGACCACCUGAAAGUGAUGGCAAAUUCUCCUCCAUAUCAAGUUUUUUUGGAUGAAAUUUAACUUCUCCUCCUGCAAGGUCAGUGCUGGUUCAGAAACUGGGCAUUGAGCUUGAGUUUAACUGAACUCCUCUACUCUGCACUGCUUGCCUCAGCUGUCCUUGUAUGUUUUUCCCCUGCUGUCAUCUCUACUGUAUGUGCACUUCUCUCUGACAAAACCCUGCAAGAAACGUAUUGCAUUUACUAAUUAGAAUAGCAGUUACUAAUUGAGUUUAAAUUCCAAUGUACCAAUCAAAUUUUAUUUCCUAAUUGUGCAACAUUAUCACUAAUUAGAAUAGCAGUUUUUACUUAAUGGAUUAUAUUUAAAUUAAGAUGUCUCCAUCCAAUGUUUUUUUCUACUUACAUUUUAACUAAUUGGUACUGCAAUUAUUAAGUUACAUUUAAAUUGAAAUAUAUCAGGGUGGUAGGGAAUCAUAUGAUAGCUCGCUUACAGUCUGUAUGUUACUAGUAGGAAUGAUUAAGAUACGGUCCAGUUAAUUAGUUCUGGUAUCAAAAUAAUUUCAUAAGUGUUUGAAUAAGGAUUGAGUGUACACUGCUCCCUUGCCACACUGUUAUGGGCCCAGUGAAAAUUUCGCAUAGCUAUCAGCACUAAUUGGCUCAGAUUCAAUCUGCAAAAACUUAGGCCCAAGUUC